rnacentral:lncRNA from 1 species
UAAACAAAUAUAUAAAAACAAACAGUAUUUAUAUCAUAUAUCUAUGUUGAAGUCAUGGCACAAUAUAAGAAUAUAGCUUUCUAAAAUCCUUGUUAUCACGUGUUCAAUCAAAAACAAUAGCAUGCCCUAUUUCUAAGUCAAACUUUAUUCAUAAUAAAACACUAUCUACAAUACAUCCCAUUGUCAUUUUCAGAGUUUCUGGUGUACUUGUGACAUCUCAAUCAAUGUCCACAAAUUCUUUCACACGUGCUGAAAAGGUCACUGCAUUUCUGCAUACACACUGUGUCUAUUAUGUUGCCGAAGUUCUGUAGUCCAGAAUCACCAGGCGAGCAUGGUUGUUGAACACAUAUUUUGUUAUAAUGUGAAUUGCACAGUCUACAGUCAUUCAUAAAAGUCAAUGCCUUUGUUGAUACUAUUGAAACAUGACAAAUAAGCAGGAUCAUGAUGACUAUUACGAAUAAUAAUUUGUAUUUCAUCUAUUAACGAAAAAUAAAAAAAGAGAGUUAAACAGAUUUUU